ACUGACUCCAGCCGCCGACCCUUUUCCAUCUGAUCGUUUCGUUCCAUUUGACGAGAGUUUCAAUUUCUCCAGAGACUCCUCACUCAGCGUCGCUUGACUUCCUCCGUUCCUCUACUCAGCCAGAAAAAGGUUCGAAAUUGUUGGGAAAUCUAGCAUUUGAAGGAGACUCAGUAGUCGUCUUCUUCAAUUGGAAGUGCAGAGCCACGAGUCAAGUAAAAUCCUAGACCUGCGAUGCUUCAUCUUCACAAACAGCGGGAUUCAGUCGAAGCAAUUCCAUAGCAAGAUUCAGUCGAAGCACGUUGAAGUUGGGUUCAAAGGCAAUUCUUCAUGUCUCCAUGAUCUGAGGGCAUAUGAAGCAAUCGUUGAAGAAUUAAACUUGACAAGGUUUGUUUUCAUAUUCCAUUUGGUAUAUAACCUCCUCCCCUAAAAUAUUUAUUGGCAGUGUUUUGAAUUUUGAUGUUCUAAGAAGCUUUAUAUUUUUUUCUGUCACUAUUUGCUUUAUGGCAUCUGUCUUGCCACUGAUGUCCCUUUUAUUUACAGUGUUGCUACUAAAGCCCAAUUUGGAGGAGUGGACUGCAAGAACAAAAGUUUAUGAUUCAUUAAAAGAAUCUGUGGGUCUCAAUAAAUUAAAUCUAUAAGAAAUGAAUUGAUAUUUGAUUUCUGAACUGCCAAAUAUUUAAGCUCACUAAAGGAUCUCAUGAGCCGUUGGUAGUCACAAAUUGAGACAAAAUUAUGCUCCACAUGUACGGAUAUUGGAAAGAAGAUGAUGAACUGCUGUUCAGCUAUCAUCUCCUUAUUUUUGUACUCUUGCAACUUCAUGCAUAAUGUCAUAAGUGAAGCAUUUGGGUGCAUGGUCUUAGAGAUUUCCAUUUAAGCAAAACCACUGAGGAAAUAUUUUUCAUGAUAUCUUCUCUGUCAUCCCCAUGAAACGUGGCCCAUCUCUGUAGGGCUGAGUUCUGUCUUGAUUUUGAAUAUAUUUACUUCAUUGUCUGCAUUUAUCUUUCUCCUGUCAUACAAAAUUAGUUUAAUUGCUGCAAGAAAAACAAAAUCUCCUGUCUUCAUUUUGACAACCAUUAAUGAAUAAGGUGCUUGGCAUUGGUGCAUGUUUGGAAUCCUACUAUAUGAGAUGCUUACUGGAAAGGUUUGGAUCCUGAUUUUGUAUAAUUGUAGUUGUUCAUUUAAAUCUUUGAAGUUGUUUGAGAAUUUACAUCUCAUCUUUUCUGGAAUUCUUAAAAUCAACAAUGUGGCACAAGAUCCUAUUUGCUUUUUGGGGCCGUUACCUAUUUUCAAAAGCUUCUAAUUAAUUUUUUGUUGUAUUGUAUUAUUUUUAUUAGCAAUGUUAAUAUAACAAAUGAAUUGGACAAUAGGUUUAUAAUGUUGUGUUUGUCAUGGAUCCCUCAAGCUCUGUUUCUUACAUCUGAACUCAACUUUGACUGCUUUUGAAUUGUGUUUGGAGUUAGUAAGGUGGUAAUAUUGCCAUGCCCUUAGGGAUAUGAUAUUCAUCCAUAUGAAGCUACAUUAUGAUGUUGAUAGGAUUGACUUGAGAUUUUAAAAUUCUCAAUUUUUAUAUUAAGGAAACAGUCGAGGAACGCCAAGAAGACGGGGAGGGAUGGGAAUUGGUUUUAUUGUGCGAAAAAAGCUCUCAGUCCUAAAGUCAAAGAAGAGGGAGGACGACGUUCGGAGUUCUUUUUCUUUUCGUAUAAUUUUCAAUAUAUAUUUUAAUGCACUAAGUAUUGAUCCUAUCCUUUCCUGUGUCUACAGGUCUUUCCCCCCAUGGAAAUGAUUUGAGAACAUUUGUUGAUCAAUCCAGGACAUUACGGGCAGAGGAGGUAGAAGAUGGAUCUCAACAAUUGGACCUAAUUUGCAUCUCAAUAUAUAAUUUUAAUGCAGCAAUUCUUUUACAUAUAUAUCUAUAGCUGCUGUAUCGUUUCCUUUGGGUUUUGCAGUGGUGCUUGAGGGAGAUAUAUUUCUUCAAAACCUGCCAAGUAUUAUUACCGCCCAUGCUUUAGGUACAUAAAUCACUGUAUAUGUCUCAUCCGCCCACUCGCCUCGUCUUUUUGAGUCAUUUGGGAAGUUAAAAGUGUCUGCUAUUUGUUACCCUUGGUUGCAAGUGCUUGUUACUAUAAACUCUUCUCAUAUGUACCACUCUUUUCAAUGAAAACCCGUCUUAAUCUA